UACGGGGGGGGCAAGCGUUGUUCGGAAUUACUGGGCGUAAAGGGCGCGUAGGCGGCCUGUUAAGUCGAACGUGAAAUCCCCGGGCUCAACCCGGGAACUGCGUCCGAUACUGGCAGGCUUGAAUCCGGGAGAGGGAUGCGGAAUUCCAGGUGUAGCGGUGAAAUGCGUAGAUAUCUGGAGGAACACCGGUGGCGAAGGCGGCCCCCUGGACCGGUACUGACGCUGAGGCGCGAAAGCGUGGGGAGCGAACGAGGA
rnacentral:rRNA from 1 species